AGUGAACGCUGGCGGUAGGCCUAACACAUGCAAGUCGAACGGCAGCACAGGAGAGCUUGCUCUCUGGGUGGCGAGUGGCGGACGGGUGAGGAAUACAUCGGAAUCUACUCUGUCGUGGGGGAUAACGUAGGGAAACUUACGCUAAUACCGCAUACGACCUACGGGUGAAAGCAGGGGACCUUCGGGCCUUUCGCGAUUGAAUGAGCCGAUGUCGGAGUAGCUAGUUGGCGGGGGAAAGGCCCACCAAGGCGACGAUCCGUAGCGUGUCUGAGAGGAUGAUCAGCCACACUGGAACUGAGACACGGUCCAGACUCCUACGGGAGGCAGCAGUGGGGAAUAUUGGACAAUGGGCGCAAGCCUGAUCCAGCCAUACCGCGUGGGUGAAGAAGGCCUUCGGGUUGUAAAGCCCUUUUGUUGGGAAAGAAAUCCAGCUGGCUAAUACCCGGUUGGGAUGACGGUACCCAAAGAAUAAGCACCGGCUAACUUCGUGCCAGCCGCCGCGGUAA
rnacentral:rRNA from 1 species